GAAAAGCUCUAGCACUCAAAGCCAUCCAAGAGGGGAGCAGGCCACCACAGCAAGAGAGCGCGCUGUCCCUAAAGAGACUUUGCAGACUUCUGGGAGGGGACCCACCCCAGUCUUUCCAGCUGAGGAACUCGCACCCCGAUAUCAGCAGAACUCUCCCAGCCUAGGCAGGGGGCACCUCCUGACUUCCAUCUUUACCAUUCUCAGGGCCACCUGCAGGUCCCCCCUUGGAAAAGGGACAAGAAAUACAGGACGCCAGAAAGUGCCUUGCAAGCCCGCCGCUAGAGGGCGCCAGUUCCCUUCAGUAAAGGUUUGAGGUCCGCGCAGCUGGUGGGAACCCCUAGGACAGACCUCUCAGAUCUGUCCCCAUCUGUCCCUCUGCCUUCCUGCUCUGGCCCCCGGCUCUUUGGGGUGUUUUUCUUCAUUUCCUUGAGUACUGUAUCAUUCACUCAUUCCCAGGGUUUACAUUCACUGCUUUAAACAGUAGCUUUAUGAAAGGACAGAAAAUGGGAGACACUGGUUUGGCUUUUUUUUAAGCAGGCCAUUUGGCAGCAAGGGAAAUCUAGACAUUACUGUACUAAGCCAAUGUUUUCGCCUUUUUCCACUAACGUCUUUCUGGUAGAGUUGGGAUAAUAAUUUUCAAAAGAAGAAGACAUAAAUAGAGAAGAUAAAAGAUGACCCAAAGUUAAACCAGGAUGAAUAAUCUGUAUCAGCCCAGUAGGUGGAGACCAACAUCUGGUCUUUGCCAUUUUUAAGAUGGUUUAGAUGGGGAAAUAGAUGCUUUACUGGAAACUUUGGAUGACAUGAAAUUGGAGAGCCAAUGGCUUAGCUAACAGGUCCUGGAUCUAAACAGAUCAAGACUAGAUUAAAACUCAGAUCUUAACAGCUCACCAGGAAGCAAUAUAAAGAUCUACCUUUGGAUUUUUAAAAAAGGUUAGGAGAUGUAUUUCAGCUGACAAAGCUCAAGAAAGUGGGAUGGAGCCACUCAAAAAUAAAACUCACAAGAUGUUUAGGUGACAUGAGGAGAACACACAGGCACCAUGUUUCAUCUAGGACUGUAGAGCUGCACUUUAGGAGACUGUUGAUGCUGUGUAAUGUCCAGGUGGGGACGUCCAGGGUGGAAAGGGCCUCGUGAGGGUGUGGGACCUGGAGAAGAACUCAGCACAAUGAGAGCUGUCCUAGGCCUGGGAGUGAGAAGCUACAGGGAGCCAGAUGUCUGCUCUUACAGAAGAACCAAGCUUCAGCGUCAGAGGGCUUGUGGCAGUGGUGACUGGGCCAUCCUUGGAAGUGUCACCAAGCCAGAUGGCCGGCCAUGGGUCAGGAGAGGGUCCCAGACAUUGGCUGUGAAUCUUGAUGUUCAAGGUCAUUUCCAAGUCUGGGCUCUGGUGCUUAUGUUAGUAGAAUGGCUUUAUGUGAGCUUUAAGUGUGCGAACCACAUAUGUCCUGUCCUAUUCCUAUCUUUUGCCACCAUGUUGACCAUUUCAGACCCAUCAGUGCCUCCAUCCCCUAAGCUGAGUGUGGCCUCCUAUCUCUGAGAACCACUGGUACCUUGGCCAGAGCUGCCCUGUCUGGUCCUGUGUCACAGGGGACAUAGAUAGGAUGUGGCCAGGGAGGCAGCACGUCCAUGGGCCAGGAGCCCUUUACCUCCUGUCAGUCUCUCUCAGCUCUUUACUUUCCUCUACCUCUGCUGGAACAAAGUGAUUCUGUCAGCUCUGAACCAGCCCUGAUUCUUGGUUCUACCUAGAUUCCCCUUGUCCUGUGGAACAGUGACCACUAGACAAUGGCAACUUCUGGCCAUCGUUCUCAGCAUCUCCCAGACCGUGAGCCCCUGCUCGGUGCAAGGAAACCCCUUCUGGUACCUAAACAAACCCCCAGCUGCCUUGCCUCCUGCUCCACCAUUCAGUUUGAC
rnacentral:lncRNA from 1 species